AUUGAACGCUGGCGGCAUGCCUUACACAUGCAAGUCGAACGGUAACGGGUCCUUCGGGAUGCCGACGAGUGGCAAACGGGUGAGUAAUAUAUCGGAACGUGCCCAGUAGUGGGGGAUAACUGCUCGAAAGAGCAGCUAAUACCGCAUACGACCUGAGGGUGAAAGGGGGGGAUCGCAAGACCUCUCGCUAUUGGAGCGGCCGAUAUCAGAUUAGCUAGUCGGUGGGGUAAAGGCCUACCAAGGCAACGAUCUGUAGUUGGUCUGAGAGGACGACCAGCCACACUGGGACUGAGACACGGCCCAGACUCCUACGGGAGGCAGCAGUGGGGAAUUUUGGACAAUGGGCGCAAGCCUGAUCCAGCAAUGCCGCGUGCAGGAAGAAGGCCUUCGGGUUGUAAACUGCUUUUGUCAGGGAAGAAAUCUUCUGGGCUAAUACCCCGGGAGGAUGACGGUACCUGAAGAAUAAGCACCGGCUAACUACGUGCCAGCCGCCGCAGUAA
rnacentral:rRNA from 1 species